CAGGAGUAUAAGCCACAGCUAUAUAUUUUAACUGGAAACUUAGAAAAAAACAAUAAAACAACCAGUUGAAUGUCUUACCCCCCUUUAGUGUCUCUUACUCCAUUUAGUGUCUUGCACCUCACAUUGUUUCUCUUGCACCCCUAUUGUUUUUUUUUUAAUAACUCCUGUGGCUCUGAAAUCCCAGUAAGAAGCUUUCUAUCAUAAAAGGUAAACAAUAAAGAACAUACACUACUGAGGUCUUCCACUAGUUACCUGGACAUUGCACCAGAUGACACUUGGAAUAUAAGAUGCAUCAUAGGUGUGCUGCACCACCAAGG